rnacentral:rRNA from 1 species
UACAGAGGUCUCGAGCGUUGUUCGGAUUCAUUGGGCGUAAAGGGUGCGUAGGUGGCGCCGUAAGUCGGGUGUGAAAUUUCGGAGCUUAACUCCGAAACUGCAUUCGAUACUGCGGUGCUUGAGGACUGGAGAGGAGACUGGAAUUCAUGGUGUAGCAGUGAAAUGCGUAAAGAUCAUGAGGAAGACCAGUGGCGAAGGCGGGUCUCUGGACAGUUCCUGACACUGAGGCACGAAGGCCAGGGGAGCAAACGGG